CGAGCGGUAUGGAUCUUUCGGGAUCCAGAGAGCGGCGUACGGGUGCGGAACACGUGUGCAACCUGCCUUUAUCAGGGGGAUAGCCUUUCGAAAGGAAGAUUAAUACCCCAUAAUAUUUAGAAUGGCAUCAUUUUAAAUUGAAAACUCCGGUGGAUAGAGAUGGGCACGCGCAAGAUUAGAUAGUUGGUGAGGUAACGGCUCACCAAGUCUGCGAUCUUUAGGGGGCCUGAGAGGGUGAUCCCCCACACUGGUACUGAGACACGGACCAGACUCCUACGGGAGGCAGCAGUGAGGAAUAUUGGACAAUGGGUGCGAGCCUGAUCCAGCCAUCCCGCGUGAAGGACGACGGCCCUAUGGGUUGUAAACUUCUUUUGUAUAGGGAUAAACCUACCCUCGUGAGGGUAGCUGAAGGUACUAUACGAAUAAGCACCGGCUAACUCCGUGCCAGCAGCCGCGGUAAUACGGAGGGUGCAAGCGUUAUCCGGAUUUAUUGGGUUUAAAGGGUCCGUAGGCUGAUGUGUAAGUCAGUGGUGAAAUCUCACAGCUUAACUGUGAAACUGCCAUUGAUACUGCAUGUCUUGAGUGUUGUUGAAGUAGCUGGAAUAAGUAGUGUAGCGGUGAAAUGCAUAGAUAUUACUUAGAACACCCAUUGCGAAGGCAGGUUACUAAGCAACAACUGACGCUGAUGGACGAAAGCGUGGGGAGCGAACAGGAUUAGAUACCCUGGUAGUCCACGCCGUAAACGAUGCUAACUCGUUUUUGGGUUUUCGGAUUCAGAGACUAAGCGAAAGUGAUAAGUUAGCCACCUGGGGAGUACGAACGCAAGUUUGAAACUCAAAGGAAUUGACGGGGGCCCGCACAAGCGGUGGAUUAUGUGGUUUAAUUCGAUGAUACGCGAGGAACCUUACCAAGGCUUAAAUGGGAAAUGACAGGUUUAGAAAUAGACUUUUCUUCGGACAUUUUUCAAGGUGCUGCAUGGUUGUCGUCAGCUCGUGCCGUGAGGUGUUAGGUUAAGUCCUGCAACGAGCGCAACCCCUGUCACUAGUUGCCAUCAUUAAGUUGGGGACUCUAGUGAGACUGCCUACGCAAGUAGAGAGGAAGGUGGGGAUGACGUCAAAUCAUCACGGCCCUUACGCCUUGGGCCACACACGUAAUACAAUGGCCGGUACAGAGGGCAGCUACACAGUGAUGUGAUGCAAAUCUCGAAAGCCGGUCUCAGUUCGGAUUGGAGUCUGCAACUCGACUCUAUGAAGCUGGAAUCGCUAGUAAUCGCGCAUCAGCCAUGGCGCGGUGAAUACGUUCCCGGGCCUUGUACACACCGCCCGUCAAGCCAUGGAAGUCUGGGGUACCUGAAGUCGGUGACCGUAACAGGAGC
rnacentral:rRNA from 1 species